rnacentral:rRNA from 1 species
UACAGAGGGUGCAAGCGUUAAUCGGAAUUACUGGGCGUAAAGCGUGCGUAGGUGGUUUGUUAAGUCAGGUGUGAAAUCCUGGGGCUCAACCUCAGAAUGGCGCUUGAUACUGGCAGACUCGAGUGUGGUAGAGGAUAGUGGAAUUCCCGGUGUAGCGGUGAAAUGCGUAGAUAUCGGGAGGAACAUCAGUGGCGAAGGCGGCUAUCUGGACCAACACUGACACUGAGGUACGAAAGCGUGGGUAGCAAACAGG